rnacentral:rRNA from 1 species
UACGGAGGGUGCAAGCGUUAUCCGGAUUUAUUGGGUUUAAAGGGUGCGUAGGCGGCCUGUUAAGUCAGGGGUGAAAGACGGUAGCUCAACUAUCGCAGUGCCCUUGAUACUGAUGGGCUUGAAUUGACUAGAGGUAGGCGGAAUGUGACAAGUAGCGGUGAAAUGCAUAGAUAUGUCACAGAACACCGAUUGCGAAGGCAGCUUACUAUGGUCUUAUUGACGCUGAGGCACGAAAGCGUGGGGAUCAAACAGG